AGAACGAACGCUGGCGGCAGGCUUAACACAUGCAAGUCGAACGCUCGUAGCAAUACGGGAGUGGCAGACGGGUGAGUAACGCGUGGGAACAUACCCUCCGGUUCGGAAUAGCUCAGGGAAACUUGGAUUAAUACCGGAUACGGCUGAGAGGCGAAAGAUUUAUUCGCCGGAGGAUUGGCCCGCGUUCGAUUAGCUUGUUGGUGAGGUAACGGCUCACCAAGGCGAUGAUCGAUAGCUGGUCUGAGAGGAUGAUCAGCCACAUUGGGACUGAGACACGGCCCAAACUCCUACGGGAGGCAGCAGUGGGGAAUAUUGGACAAUGGGCGCAAGCCUGAUCCAGCCAUGCCGCGUGAGUGAUGACGGCCUUAGGGUUGUAAAGCUCUUUCGCUCGGGACGAUAAUGACGGUACCGAGAUAAGAAGCCCGGCUAACUUCGCGCCAGCAGCCGC
rnacentral:rRNA from 1 species